rnacentral:lncRNA from 1 species
CUCUACUGAAAAUAUAAAAACUAGCUGGGGCAUGGUGGCACACACCUGUAAUCCCAGCUACUUGGGAGGCUGAGGCAGGAGAAUUGCUUGAGCCCGGGAGACGGAGCUUGCAGUGAGCUGAGAUCACGCCGCUGUCCUCCAGCCUGGCUGACCAAGCGAGACUCUGUCUCAAACAACAGCAACAACACAAACCUUUAGAAGAAUAAAUAAGAAAAUGGUGGCACUGGUUACCUGUUAGGUCUAGGAAUUGUUCAGGUAGAGGACAGAGUAGGAAGGAGACUUCUCAUUGCAUUAUAUCUUUUUACACUUUCUGAUGUUUGUAUCAGAUUUUAAAAAUUAAAUAGAAAAUUGAAAAUUUUAGCGUGGGCCACCGUGCCCAGCCGAGAGAAUAGUUCUUGAACAGUGGUUGAGGGGAUACACACGCAAAAGGGCCCAUAAUCUAGGACAUGUGUUCUCUUGGGAUCUUCAAGAAUUUUGAAUUUAUAGAUGUAUAUUUCUAGUAUUGAACUGCAAAGUCAGGCAUUAAAAAAUUUAACUUGGCCAGACGCGAUGGCUCACGCCUGUAAUCCUAGCACUUUAGGAGGCUGAACAGGCAGAUCGCUGGAGCACACGAGUUUGAGAACAGCCUGGGCAACAUGGCAAAACCCCAUCUCUACUAAAAAUACAAAAGAAAAUUAGCCAGGCAUGGUGGUGUGCACCUGUAGUUGCAGCUACUUGAGAGGCCUAGGUGGGAGGAUGGCUCGAGCCUGGGAGGUGGAGGUUGCAGUGAACUGUGAUUGCGCCCCUGCAGUCCAGCCUGGGUGAUAGAGCCAGACCUUGUCUCUUGUCUCAUUAAAGAAAAAAAAAAAAUUAACUUGUUCUUAAAGUUUUAGUAAAAACAGGUUUUCAUUGUAUAUCCCCUUAAGUUAGCAAUUAGAUAUAAUCUCAGCAUUCUUCUUCCUUUUUUUUUUUUUAUGAGACAAGAGUCUCGCUUUGUUGUCCAGGUGAUCUUGGCUCACUGCAACCUCCACUUCCUGGGUUCAAGUGAUUCUCCUGCCUCAGCCUCCCAAGUAGCUGGGAUUACAGGCACCUGUCACCAUGGCCAGCUAAUUUUUUUUUUAUUUUUAGUAGAGAUGGGGUUUCACCAGCUUGGCCAGGCUGGUCUUAAACUCCUGACCUCAGGUGAUCCACCCGCCUCGGCCUCCCAAAGUGCUGGGAUUACAGGCAUGAGCCACCGUGCCCGGCCUAAUCUCAGCACUCUUAACCGUGUGACUUUGGGCGAUUUUCUUAAUCUCUCUGAGAUUCAGGUUCCUCCUUCAUACUGGAAAUAAUAACACUUACUUCAGAGGACUUUUGUAUUAUAUCUGUAAAGGACAUAGGGCAGUGUUUGGUUCAGUGGACUACUACUGUUCUU